UCCACUCGCGGGCUCUCCUGUCCACUCGUUUUCUCCUCUCUCUCUGUCUCAAAUCACCACCGAGUGCUCUGCCAAUCCACCGCCGACGAGCGCAGCGCUGCCACCGCACGAGCGUGACGAGGAGGCUUCCGCUCCUAGCUAGCCUGGGCAGCCGCCAUCUAUCUAUCCCCCACAAAAUUUCCCGCCCCAGGCUGCUCGACCUCGGCGGCUUCGACCCCAUCGCCGAGGAGCCGCAUCCUCCCCGCGCCGCCAAUGGACGCGACCCCGCCGCCCUCGCCUGCGCCAUCUCCGCCGAGGCCAGCAUCUUGCUCGCCUUCAUGCGCUGCAGCCUCAGCCUCUGCCGCCGAGCACCCGCUCAUCUCCUCCCUCAAGACACUGUGCCGCCGAGAUUUGUGGCGAGCUGCCGGCGGCCGGCGAAGGGCCCGUCCAUGUCCGUGAGGUGGAGAAGGGCGGCAUCCCUGAGCAGAAGAAGUAAGGCGGCAUCCAGAUUCGGCAGUAGAAGAACCGAAAGAAAAUGCAGCAGCGCCGGUGGCCGUUGAGGCCGCCGUCUCCGCCCUGCCAUCUUCGACCCGGCGCUCGCCAAGGUGACCGAGCUACAUGAUAUGAGGCCGAGUGACAGCGUCUGCACCGUGCGCUGGACGCGCAAGGGCUCCUAUCUCGCCAUUGCCACCAGCCUUGAGAUGUCCAGCUGCAAAGAGGUGCUAUAAUUUGAGAUGAUGUGCAAAGAGGUUAUUCCCUUUAACAACAAAGGACAACUGAAGGAAGCUUUCAAUAUCAGUGAUACACUCUAGGAAUGGUCCAUGUGUUGUACACCUGAGCAGCAUCCGCGGACGGCUUCUCGGAUGGCGUAGGCAUGGGCAUGUAGCGGGAGCCUCGUGGAGAUCAAGAUGAGGGUGGGCGAGCGAGGACCAUGCCGCCGUUGGGGGUGAGGCAGACAUCUCUCUGAAUAUUUUUGUCGUGCGAUGCAUGCGGCUCUGUUCUCUGAAUAUUUUUGUGGUGCGAAGGAGUACUUGGAUCAAUAUUUGGAGUAUACUUGAAGUAAUCUGGAGCACACUAAUCUGUAUCUUGUUUCAAUAUAUUUCCAUUAAUAUUUGGAGCAAGAGUACAUCAAGAGUAUAGUUCCUGUGCAGUGACUGAUGAUGUACUAGUCCUUGUGUACAACAGAUGUGAUGUGCUCUUGCUUGCAGUGCUUGCACUACUGAAUGAAUUGUUGUUCCAUGGUCACAUGGAUAAAAUGUAUACUGAAUUUGUUUUUAUUCUAUAUCUGAAGGUUUUGUGAUUU